UAAACUAUUUUGUUUUCCUGGUACCAUUCUCAAAUUCUUAUGGCUCCUCUCUUCAUCUUCUCCAUUAUUAUUCAAUAAGUUCUCACAUUCAAAUGCCAUGAAUUCGUUUCUCUAACGCCAACCCUUCCCUUUCCAUCUUUUAAUUAGUUAAUUAUUAGAAAAUUAAUUGGAGUUGUUAAUUGAUUCAUCAAUGGCGACAAUCAAUUUGAAACUGUUGGAGUGUGUAGAAGCUUUAUCAGUCAAUUAAAUAAAUCCAUUAGAACAACGAGGCAUUCUUUUCAAGCCACAAUCAGGUUGUCGAUGGAAAGAUGAUGUUGGUUUCUGCUAGAUGUACUUUGGUUGAGCAUCAUGUAAUACUUUAAUUAUAUACUCCAUUAAUACCCACUACACCACACCCAAUACGGAGUAUUAUUCAUGUUCUAUUUUACUGUUAAAUCAUUUUACUGUUUGCAUUUAACAGGUACUUUCAAGUGUUUUAACUUUCACAUUCCAAAUUUCAAGAACUUUUCAACAAUUUUACAUUCUAAUAACUGAUUUUUUUGUGAGUUUUGUGACAGCAAAAAUAUAAAUUCUUAUCUAAUUUUCAAUCUUCGUUACAUACUUUGUAUAAAAAUCGGGAAAUAUAUUUUUUCAUGUUUGAAGAUUUUGGGAAGUUCUUGAUUUAAUAACGAAAUAUAAUACUCCAACAACUUGCCUGGUAUAUAUAUUUAGUGAAUAUAUUUUGAGUUGGAUCUGUUGAGAAUAUUGUUUGUACAUAAUAGCUCCAUUGAGCAAUCAAGUAUUAGAGGGUGUACGGGAGAGGAAGGACAAACAACUACUCCGUAGAAUAAUUAGAGUUAUGGCUCUCCGUCAACCAAAGAAGUACAUACGUGUAUACAACUACGACGAAUUGUCAACGGAAAAAAAAGCCUACCACGUAAGAGGGAGCAAACAACCACAAUCGGUUACCCCGUUUGUCGUAACUUAAUUCUUCCAUGUCGAAGUGUUUAUUCACUUUAAUUUAUCCACAUACUUUGGAUGUUUUUAAAAGUUGUUUCACUGUUCUAUGGUUCAAAUGGCUAAAUGUA